GUCCAGCUCCUUUAUGUAAAAUUGCUUCUAUCAUUGAUGGCAGAUAUUAUACAUGUAAAGCAGCAAUUUCCUUGAAGAUACAAUGGCCUAACAGAAAACACCUUUGUUUUGAUGGCCUGCAGACACACUUAAGAUUUGGCACCUAAAGCAUAGGUUUAUUGAGGUACUGUGCUAUUAACUGUGACAAUAAUACUAGGGAGGAGUGCGACCUAGAUAUUUCUGCCGAAUUUUUGUCUGCAGUGCAUUUAGGAAGGUACUUACAGCCUGAAGAUGAUUCACACACAGACACAAGGACACGUCCAUUUUAUGUAAAGUGUUAAAACAACAGUUCCUAUAAUUUGCACAUUCUUUGGGAUGGCUGACAUGAUAUCUUGUAUAUUGGAGAUGAUCCCUGUCAGCUGAUCUUUCACAUGGCAGAUUGCUGAGGAAACAGAUACAUGUUACAGGCUUGGUGCCAGGAUCAAUUUCUGUGAAAGAAGGCAUGAAGAAACUGCAGACAGGCUUUGAGAAAAUUUGUGGGUUCCAUGCUGUUCCGUGGUUUAUUUAGAUACAGAAAAUGGACAACUAGUAUGAUAAUUUUCGUAGUUAUAUGGAAUAAUAUAUGGAUGACUAUAAUUAUUCAUAUCUAUGAAUGGAUGUCACCAGUUUCUCGAGUCGGGUCCCAGCUAUUUUCUAGGCUGCAUGUCAGAUAAUUUUGAUGAUUUAAUCUGCAUGCAUGGAGAAUGAGCUUCCCUGCUUGAUUUACCUGUGAAAUAAACAGUGGAUGAAAACAGUGAAAAAAAAUCUGUAAAAAUGAAAUACCGGUAGCUGCAGUAAUUCUAUCUAAGGCAAGA